CUGACAUCCUGUUUCAACAUUAAAUUAAAUUAAAUUUUAAGAAGGAAAACGAAGAAAAGCAAACUAAACUUAUGAUUUGCCACCCAAAGCAUGGCUUCAUUACAAAAUAAAAAAAAAGAGUCCUCUUCCCACAGUGGUGAGACUGUGUAGCUGAACGAAGACCACAGAAUUCAGUUGACCGUGUGUGAAAAAUACAUGUAAACGGCUUUGAAAUCUUAGAAGUUAGUCAGAAGCACGCAGCCUCAGCAGCCAGGGUUUAUCAAGUGCCUACUGAAUGCCAGGCACUGUGCCAACAUUGUCACAAUGAUUCAAUAAUUGUAUCACUAAUAGUCGCCGGCCUUUGAAGCGUGCUGGCUCCAUUCUAAGCACUUUUCAUGCCUUAGCUCACGUAGACUCACAACAACGCAGUGGGAUGAGGAAAGUGAAACAGAGCAGGGAAGUAAGCAGCUACUUAGUAGUGUGAGCUGGGCACCGUGACGACCUACCUUCCACCAGAAAAGAAAUUCUCGGGAGACAAGCUCCAAGCUGCAAAUGCUGUGUGUCUGCUCCUGGGGUACCCGCUGGCCUUGAAUCACUCCUCUGCAUCCCUGGGACUCCAGGAACUUUGGGAUCCAGAGAAGCAAGCUCUUUUAUCCCAGGACCCAUGACUGCCCAAGCUGUGAGCUUCCUGAGGGCAGGGACCCUGUUCUCUCUCCCAGAGCCAGGGCUCCAUGUUGGAACUGGCCCAGAGAGCGUCUGUUAAGCUUCCACGAAACGAACAUUCCUGACCUUGAAGCCAUAGGACAGGACUCUGAAGAUCACCAAAUCACAUCGUGAGAAAACAAAGCCAUUUUCAGCUCUGCACCGGUCCUUCUCGUGACAGCAAGGAGAAUGUGUCGGGCUGGCUCAAGGAUGUCUCUAACACCCACCUCUCUCACCCUCACCCACCUCCACACAGUACCAAGAACACGCAGGUCCUAGACUCAGACUCUAGCGGACGAAUGUGUCUAGCAAAAGUGCCGGCAUUGCUUUAUUUUAGAAUUAUCUCCAAUUUAUACCAAGUGAUACUGGUUUUCCACUUGUAAUAGCAACAUUAUUUUUCUGAAGUUUGUUUUAAAUUUUAAUUCACUUUCAGACAUACAAUAAAAUUGCAAGGAUAAUAGA